CAGACCAACCAGGAGGCUGGCAUUUGGACCAAUCACAGGCCUGCUGCUGCGACAUACACAGCUCUCCUUGCUGGCUCCUGGUGGUCUAUGAAAGGCCCUGUUAGGUGAAGCCUCGCACCAGGAGCCCUGUAACUCUACCCCUUAUUUCUGCAGUAGUGUGGACUCAGAACGUCUUGUAAAUCUACUUUGCAAUAUUUCUCAAGUGCGAACAAAGGGGUCAAAGCAGUCCCUUAAACCAACCAACCAACCCAGACUAUAAACACGAUGGGCUGCUAUCGCUGAAGAGAAACCAGCAGCCCGUCAAGGUCGGUGUAGAGGCCAGUCGCGAGCAGGGCUGACCGGCAUUACCUGCGUGUGGCCGCAGCCAGUGCGGCUUUCCCGAGGUGACCAGCAGCGGCGCGGAGCCUCAGCAGCAAUCAGUAACCAAGGGUCCGGAGCUGUAGCACUAAGGGCUGGGGGGUCCCUGGCACUCAAAGCCCAGAGGUGCACUUUGCUGAUUCGAUUUGGGAUUUCUAGCUGAAUGGGGGGGGGGGGCCUGCAGCCGAUUGGCAACAUGGCCACUGAGCUCCGUUAGUGCCAGAAGCACCUGGCUCUCCGGGUGUCCCUCGCGAUGGCGGGGGCCGUGACUUGGUCCUUGCAGUCACUCCAGAAUGGGGCCAACUUCCCCACUCCUACUACUUUAGACGCUACUAUUGCCCUUUUGAAAGAGGGAAGGGACAUCCUGAUGUGUCCAUGAUCAGGCGGGGAGGGAUCUGACCCUAUUCGUAUCCCGAAUCCCCACAGCCAGCUUGCUUUCCAGAAGGUUCCCUGGUUUCAGCCCCCACUACCUCACUGGAUCUCAGCCACGACAGCAGAGGCUGUUCCGGAGCCCAGCACCAAUCACCGACCUGUACUUGGGGCAAUCACAGGCCUGCAGCUGCUAUAUAAGCAGCGCUCCACCGUAUACUGACCUCCGUGUGCUCCAGCACAGGCUCUGUAAAACUUGCACAGGAAAAAUAUACAUUUAUUCAUCUGUUCCAAAGGACACAGCCAAACAUCUUUGA
rnacentral:lncRNA from 1 species